rfam:Providencia burhodogranariea DSM 19968 genomic scaffold scaffold00001, whole genome shotgun sequence.
UUCAUCGCGAGGUGAAAUCUGAAGGAAGCUGAAAGUAAAAUGCAGGUCUGACGAACAGGAAGCGGUUUAGGCGGCACAGUGGGGUAAGGCGGCCAUUAUCGUCAACGCCCAAUACUUAUACGGAACCGGAACCGUACGUACGGUGGUGUGAGAGGACGACGGGA